CAGCCGCCGCGGGAAGACAGAGGAUGCAAGCGUUAUCCGGAAUGAUUGGGCGUAAAGCGUCUGUAGGUGGCUUUUCAAGUCCGCCGUCAAAUCCCAGGGCUCAACCCUGGACAGGCGGUGGAAACUACCAAGCAGGUGUACGGUAGGGGCAGAGGGAAUUUCCGGUGGAGCGGUGAAAUGCGUUGAGAUCGGAAAGAACACCAACGGUGAAAGCACUCUGCUGGGCCGACACUGACACUGAGAAGCGAAAGUUAGGGGAGAAAAUGGGAUUAGAUACCCGUGUAGUCCCUGUCUCUUAUAC
rnacentral:rRNA from 1 species